rnacentral:lncRNA from 1 species
AUCAAACCAGUUCAUUUACAGGACUAGGCUAUUUACAAAAGAUCUAUAGAAGAUCAGUCCUCAAAAACUAGGCUGUCCUAAGAUCAGCUAGACAGGUCCAUUCGCCAGCUCUUUAGUCGGGAUCGGCGAAGUCAAAAAUCCUCUCAGCGACCCUCACUGGUCUACCAAAAAGCUCCGGAGGAUCCGCCAUCUAGGGACCUGAAAUAUUAUCCCACAACCGGGAUGAGACGAUGUCUCAAUGAGUCCUACCCUCUAAAACUCAAUUAGGAAGAAAAUAAGCCCCAGGGUGCUCUAGCCACACAAAGAGAAUAGAGGACUUACCUCGCCUCAGUCCUUCCUGCACGUCAGUGCAACUCAUACGUCGAUAAAUUCAUACUAUAUAUCAAUUCAUAUCGUCUAUCAAUUCAUACCAUCUAUUCAUCCAUUAAUAAAUCACAGCUCACACAAGCUGAUAUAGAUGGUAGCUCGCACAAGCUGAUAUAUGCAUAGAUGAUAGCUCACACAAGCUGAUGUAUGGAUCGAUGCUCUCACAAGCUGACAUAUAUAAAUCAAUUGCUCGCCAAAGCGGAUAAUUCAAUAAUAAACCAACUCAUAUCUCAAUUCAAUCAAUCAAUCAAUCCAAUCGAUUCAAACUGGUCAUACAAAUCAAUUACGGUGCUAAAAGCUAACACCGGGUAUUUUCAAGUUAAAUACCACAACUUCAUCAAUUUCACGCAAUUCCACACUUUUGGAAUUAUUAACCAUAAUCAUCAAUCACUCAAUUUCUCAAUUUAAACAUACAAUUAGCACAAACCGACCGCACUACUGCCGAUCAGCACGAAAUUCUAACGACCGGCCAUCCCGGCAAAAUUUUCGAAAUUAUUAAAUAAUUAAAUUUAAUUCCGAAAAUUAAAUAAUUAAAUAUUAUAUUAUAAUAAUAUAAAAUAAUAAAAUAAUAUUUAAAAAUUCGAAAUAAUUAUUUAAUUAAAAAUAAUCAAUUAGGGCUUAAAUUAGAUUACACUAAUUUAAACAUACAAUUAGCCCUAAUUAAACAUCCAUUAAACUAAUCAUACAACUAAUCUAAUUUACAUUAAAAUAAUCUAAUCUAACACCUAAACCUAAUUAGACUAAUCUAAACACCCCUUAAGCAUGAUUAACUUGCUAAGCAAGGUUUAGAGGAUAAACUCACCGGUUUUGCGCGCCGGUGAGUUCACGACGACCACGACGCCAAGGCGGUCGAUAAACCCCGAAGUGGCGACACCAACGGAGGCCGGGAAGGGCUUGAAAACGGGCCACAAAGUCUGGAACUUCUUGCUGUCUUCUGCUUCUGAUUUGGACUGAACUGCAGAGAAGAAACCAGCAACUUCAACGGCGAAAACGGGCUGAUCGGAGCUCCGGCGAGCGGGUGGUUGGCAACCGGCGGCUCCCGGGGGUCAAGGGGAUCUUGCUGGUGGUUGGUAUGGGUGGAGGUAGGGUAGAAAUGGGGAGAAAAUGACUGAAAACCGCGAAACGGGCGGAACAGGCGGAACCAGGCGAGUCCAGACGGUCCGGCGAGCGGCGGCUUCGGGAGG